rnacentral:rRNA from 1 species
UACGUAGGCAGCAAGCGUUGUUCGGAUUUAUUGGGCGUAAAGAGCGUGUAGGCGGCCGUACAGGUCAGCUGUGAAAACUCGAGGCUCAACCUCGAGACGUCGGUUGAAACCGUACGGCUAGAGUCCGGAAGAGGAGAGUGGAAUUCCCGGUGUAGCGGUGAAAUGCGCAGAUAUCGGGAGGAACACCGGUGGCGAAGGCGGUUCUCUGGGCCUUACCUGACGCUGAGGAGCGAAAGCGUGGGGAGCGAACAGG